UGGGGAAUAUUGGACAAUGGGCGAAAGCCUGAUCCAGCCAUGCCGCGUGUGUGAAGAAGGUCUUCGGAUUGUAAAGCACUUUAAGUUGGGAGGAAGGGCAGUAAGUUAAUACCUUGCUGUUUUGACGUUACCGACAGAAUAAGCACCGGCUAACUCUGUGCCAGCAGCCGCGGUAAUACAGAGGGUGCAAGCGUUAAUCGGAAUUACUGGGCGUAAAGCGCGCGUAGGUGGUUUGUUAAGUUGGAUGUGAAAGCCCCGGGCUCAACCUGGGAACUGCAUCCAAAACUGGCAAGCUAGAGUACGGUAGAGGGUGGUGGAAUUUCCUGUGUAGCGGUGAAAUGCGUAGAUAUAGGAAGGAACACCAGUGGCGAAGGCGACCACCUGGACUGAUACUGACACCGAGGUGCGAAAGCGUGGGGAGCAAACA
rnacentral:rRNA from 1 species